rnacentral:rRNA from 1 species
AGCGUUGUCCGGAAUCAUUGGGCGUAAAGCGCGCGUAGGUGGCCUCAUAAGUCCGCUGUGAAAGUCAAAGGCUCAACCUUUGAAAGCCGGUAGAUACUGUGAGGCUAGAGUACGGAAGAGGCGAGUGGAAUUCCUGGUGUAGCGGUGGAAUGCGCAGAUAUCAGGAGGAACACCAAUAGCGAAGGCAGCUCGCUGGGACGUUACUGACACUGAGGCGCGAAAGCGUGGGGAGCGAACAGG